rnacentral:lncRNA from 1 species
CCUCCCCCGCGAGUGGGCUCUGGAGCCCGGGCGCCGAGCGAGUCUGAAAGCCGCGGGCAUCUGAGACAGGAGCCUCCCAGGGCACCGGGUGCGCUCAUCCGAACGGCUCGGGUCCCCUAGCCCUGGACAGACGAUCCAUGAGGUGACCUCUCCGGGAAGGAGACCUAGAAGCGCCCGAGGACAGGGUGCACCCCUGUGCUUCCCAGUGAAGGAGAGGUGGGUGCUGUACAGGCCGCGAGAGGGGCCGGGGCAGCUGGCCUUCAUCUGCAGGAGCUGCUGAUGCGCUGCCACCGAGCCGGGCGAGAACAGUUGGGGGAAAUCAAAGACCCCAGCUCUGGAUUAGCGACAACAGCCGGAGGCAAUCAUCUCUGUUCUUGAGAUCUGCCGAAUGUAGCCACAAAACCUGUCGUUCGGCCACAUACCUCCGACGGGUCACUCACCAGACCCCAUCUCCUUUACAACACCCCCCUAGAUCAGAGUCUCAGGAAGAAGACACUUUAGGACAACAGCCGCUGUCACCUUUUAUCGCUGGUAGUUUAUGGUAAUAAAGUGCUUUCCCUACCAUGGCGUUGGCUAGGUAGUGCUUGUCUUCCACCCAUGGAGAGAACAGCCUUCUGUGCCCUCGCGUUUGUGGCCAGGACUUUGACCCUGGAGAAAUUGAUUCGCAGGGAAAACAAAACAAAAC